rnacentral:lncRNA from 1 species
AGGCCAUCGGAGAUGGUUAAUCCUGCUUGCCCUUUGUCUGAGCCAGUUAGGGGAAGAAGCUGUCAGGGGAGAGAUGAGAUGUUCUCUUUCUAAAUCUCCUUAGAGUGCACUGCUUCAAGUAGCCACUCAUCCCUCCCGUCCAUAUGGCCAGCUGAACCGCAGUGACAGAAAUCAAGAGCAUGGAACAAUUCAGGGACAGAUGUUUCCGAUCCAGGAGGAGACAGGGCCUGAAAUGAAGGGAGAGGGAGCAGCACUUGGACAAAGGGAGAAAGCAAGGCUGCAAUACAUCAGUCCUGACCCACAGUCCCUCCGGCUGACUGCAAGGAGUUUAUGGUUCCAUUACCGAGGAGUUGAGGCACUGAAAGGAAUCCAACAAGGACCCGGAGCUCUCAAAGCCCUGGCAGAUAUUUUGGUCACUGUGAUGAGAACCUAACAGACCUUGGCACUAUCUCAUGAUGCCAGACAGAAGUGCAAGUCAGAGCUCCCAGGAGCCAGGAGAUCGUGACAGUGAACAGUGUCCACUCAACAGUUGCUUAGCCAUGAAGUCCAGCAGGUGAGGUAUUUGAAUGCUCUUUCCAAUAUUUUCCAGUGACAGCAGAGUUACUGUAAGUCCAAUAGCCUCAAUCACUAUAGGCCAGGGGCAUCUUUGUGUGAUAAAAUUAUUUAAAAAUUAAAAGUAGUUGGUUGGGAUACAUUGU